UAGACGAAAAGGCUGAUUUCAGUGUUACAGUAAAAGUACAAGAUGAGCUUGAAAUCUCUUGUGCUAGAAGUGAGGGAGGUGUUCAGAGAAUAAUAUGGACGUGUCAAAAGGACACUUUGGUCACCACGGAGGAGCUUUCAUUAGCCAAGAAUGGAACAAUUUGAGUAUUAAAGUAAUGACAUAAAACUAUAACUCAUUGAAUAAAAGAAAUACAUGAAUUCACUUUGAUAUAAAUUUUUAAGAAUGAGAGAAGGAAAAAGUCUUCCUUUCAGUAGAAACCCAACUGAUAAAUGAAGAAAUGAUGGAGUUAGGAAAUCACCAUCAGCAACCAUCAUAACAAUCAGUGAAGGACAAUGAUACAAGGCCGUUGACUUCAGAGUCCCACUUCAUGUCUUUCUUUGCUGCCCAAUCUGUCUGCAGCUCUUUCCAUGGCUCAGAAAUAGGUGUGAACUUGAGCCUAGUAAACUGUGGCAUCUAAGAAAACCCUCAGAGAAGGAAACCUCAGAGAGAUGAAGAUGGAACCCUUGAGGCAGGAAGUUGAUAAUGGGCCUGGGAACUGUCCAGCAAGACCGCAGGUGAAUAAGAGGUUAUGCGGGAAGGCAUUGAUGGCAUCUGCUACGGUCUCCUAGCUUUAUUUUAGUGGCUGACCCAGUGUAAAUGCAUCAUCUCUGAACACAGAGCUGUUCAAUGGACACAGGUUGAAUCAAAUUCACUAAAAAAGUGUAAGUCAUUGAUAGAACUCUUUGUUUUUUCAGCAUUGAUUUCAGACUUCAAAUUCAUAACCAUGGCACUAAGAAGCCAGUACUUCUUUAUAUAAUACAUGUGAAAUAAUACAUAAAUUGACAAAUGUUA